AUACGGAGGGUGCAAGCGUUACUCGGAAUCACUGGGCGUAAAGCGCGCGCAGGCGGCCCGUUAAGUUGGAUGUGAAAUCCUAUGGCUCAACCAUAGAACUGCAUCCAAAACUGAUGGGCUAGAGUCUGGGAGGGGAAGAUGGAAUUAGUGGUGUAGGGGUAAAAUCCGUAGAGAUCACUAGGAAUACCAAAAGCGAAGGCGAUCUUCUGGAACAGUACUGACGCUGAGGCGCGAAAGCGUGGGGAGC
rnacentral:rRNA from 1 species